UACGUAGGGUGCGAGCGUUGUCCGGAAUUACUGGGCGUAAAGAGCUCGUAGGUGGUUUGUCGCGUUGUUCGUGAAAACUCACAGCUUAACUGUGGGCGUGCGGGCGAUACGGGCAGACUGGAGUACUGCAGGGGGAGACUGGAAUUCCUGGUGUAGCGGUGGAAUGCGCAGAUAUCAGGAGGAACACCAGCGGCGAAGGCGCUGCUCUGGGCCGGUACUGACGCUGAGGAGCGAAAGCGUGGGGAGCGAACAGG
rnacentral:rRNA from 1 species